UGGCCCGAGCCCCAGCCUGGCCUCCCACCCAGGCCUCCCACCCAGCUCCCGGUCGCGGCGCCUCCUGGGGGUCCCUGCACUCUGGAAGAGACUGCAGGCGCUGGAAAGCGAGGCCGGUGGGCGGGCGAGUCGGGAGGCUCGGGCGGCCGAGGUCCAGGAGCGGAUCCCAGGUGGCGGGAGCUGGUGAGUGGAGCUAUGGCCGAGCCCUGCUGGGGCCGACGCGGGCGGGAGCUGGACGCGGCCUUGCGCUGGGGAAACGCGGGGACCCCCUACCCACGCCCGCCUUCACCGGAAGACUCGGAAGGAACCUGGAGUUCUCCGCAGACCCGGGCCCCGCCCUGAGCUUUCCAGCGGCCGGGAGGAACCGGUCCUGGGGCUAGGAAGGUGCCCAGGCAGGAGGGACUGGCUUAUGCCACCCCAUGCAGGAUCAUCUUUUUAGCUUACAGAGCCUAGUAUGAUUCAACAACCCUCCACCUCUGCCCUCAACAUGCCCAACUGAUCUGGUGAAGGGUACUGAAGACGAAGGCCUCUCAGGCACCAUGGAUGGGAUGGGUGUGUGUGAGGCGGGCAGAGUCCCCAGGAGCUGCCCCAGCUCUGGCUGGACAGUUGCAUGGGAAGGCCUGUUUGUGAACUCAACUUUUCUGUGGCUGUUCCAUUAAACUUCACCCAAA